UAAGAAUUUCAUGAAUUCAUCCUUUUUUA
rnacentral:piRNA from 1 species